rnacentral:lncRNA from 1 species
AACUAAUUUAGAGCAACUCCAACAGCCUAGCUAAAUCAAUUAGUAUCGGUAAAAAAAUGGAAAAACGUCGCUCAAAACUUGAUCUAACAUACUCUCUUCGUCGCUUUUCUAUCCCACUAGGCAUCCUAUUAAGAUCGCUAGUCAUCUUUGGCGAGCAUGCCGGGCUCACCAUCUCCCUUGCCGCUGCUGUGAGCUUGCCUGCCUAUACAAUGAACACGGAUUGCUGGUACAACAGUUCAAAAAGCUAAAGAACAAAAUGGGUCAUGACGCCACGCACCUUGCUGGGUCUAUCUCACGAUACCUCUUUCCAAGCUGCUUGAAGUUCUUCUUCUUGGCAAUCACAGUCAACAGCAGCAACGUCAAGUCGACAAGUGAUUAAUGAGGUUGUGAUCAUGGAUAUGCAGUACAUAGUUUGUGUGCAGUACCUCGUCUCGUCGGCCGGUGAUGUGGACGGUCGGAUCGUUACCUCGACGCGACAACCGGUUGUGAGGUGAUUUGAAUGUGAACCCACAAGAUUUAUAGAGAGUUCGUUGGUUUAUCUUAAUGUUUAAGAAGUUGUCUAUUUUUUAGAGUUCUCAUAAACCUCUAAAUUUAGCUAAAAUUAUACAUAGGCUCUUGGAGUUGCUCUUAGAGAGAACUAAAUCAACAUUUAUAAUACCAAAUAGACAUGUUUUCAAAUUAUUAUAUAAUGAAUUUAAUGAAUAAUUGAUAUUGAUGUUAUAUAUAUUUUUAUGAACUUCUAUCAAAAUUAGAGUGGUUUGAUUAACAACGAUCUAGAAUGACAUCCUAAGAGCAGCUCCAACAGACGGGUUAAAAAUCAUUCGCUCGGCAAAAAAAACAUAAAACCCGUGGAAACCAAAUCCAACAGCUCUUCUUCAACCUCUCUUUCGCCAUCUCACUUGGCAUCGCUCUCCGUCGCUAGCCAAUAUUACCGAGCUAUUGUGUCUCGCCAAAUCGCCAUAUCCCGCCCCC